rnacentral:rRNA from 1 species
UACGAAGGGGGCUAGCGUUGUUCGGAAUUACUGGGCGUAAAGCGUGCGCAGGCGGCUUCUCAAGUCAGGGGUGAAAGCCCAGAGCUCAACUCUGGAACUGCCUUUGAGACUGAGAGGCUUGAGUACGGGAGAGGUGAGUGGAAUUCCCAGUGUAGAGGUGAAAUGCGUAGAUAUCAGGAGGAACACCUGUGGCGAAAGCGGCUCACUGGACCAUAACUGACGCUGAUGCACGAAAGCUAGGGGAGCAAACAGG